rnacentral:miRNA from 1 species
CCUCACUCUCAAGUGCAAGAGG